rnacentral:rRNA from 1 species
AUUGAACGCUGGCGGCAGGCCUAACACAUGCAAGUCGAACGGUAACAGGAAGAAGCUUGCUUCUUUGCUGACGAGUGGCGGACGUGUGAGUAAUGUCUGGGAAACUGCCUGAUGGAGGGGGAUAACUACUGGAAACGGUAGCUAAUACCGCAUAACGUCGCAAGACCAAAGAGGGGGACCUUCGGGCCUCUUGCCAUCGGAUGUGCCCAGAUGGGAUUAGCUAGUAGGUGGGGUAACGGCUCACCUAGGCGACGAUCCCUAGCUGGUCUGAGAGGAUGACCAGCCACACUGGAACUGAGACACGGUCCAGACUCCUACGGGAGGCAGCAGUGGGGAAUAUUGCACAAUGGGCGCAAGCCUGAUGCAGCCAUGCCGCGUGUAUGAAGAAGGCCUUCGGGUUGUAAAGUACUUUCAGCGGGGAGGAAGGGAGUAAAGUUAAUACCUGUGCUCAUUGACGUUACCCGAAGAAGAAGCACCGGCUAACUCCGUG